rnacentral:rRNA from 1 species
CUCGUAGGCGGUUCGUCGCGUCCGGUGUGAAAGUCCAUCGCUUAACGGUGGAUCCGCGCCGGGUACGGGCGGGCUUGAGUGUGGUAGGGGAGACUGGAAUUCCCGGUGUAACGGUGGAAUGUGUAGAUAUCGGGAAGAACACCAAUGGCGAAGGCAGGUCUCUGGGCCGUCACUGACGCUGAGGAGCGAAAGCGUGGGGAGCGAACA